GGGAGUUUUUAACUCAAGUGGCGGACGGGUGAGUAACACGUAAGAAUUUGCCUUUAGGAGGGGGAUAACAACUGGAAACGGUUGCUAAUACCCCAUAUGCUUUCGAGUGAAAUGGAUUUUUCCGCCUAAAGAGAAGCUUGCGGCUGAUUAGCUUGUUGGUGAGGUAAUGGCUCACCAAGGCGACGAUCAGUAUCUGGUUUGAGAGGAUGAUCAGACACACUGGAACUGAGACACGGUCCAGACUCCUACGGGAGGCAGCAGUGGGGAAUUUUCCGCAAUGGGCGAAAGCCUGACGGAGCAAUACCGCGUGAGGGAUGACGGCCUAUGGGUUGUAAACCUCUUUUUUCAGGGAGGAAUCAAUGACGUGUACCUGAAGAAUAAGCAUCGGCUAAUUCCGUGCCAGCAGCCGCGGUAAGACGGAGGAUGCAAGUGUUAUCCGGAAUCACUGGGCGUAAAGCGUCUGUAGGUGGUCCAAUAAGUCAACUGUUAAAUCUUGAGGCUUAACCUCAAAAUCGCAGUCGAAACUAUUAGACUAGAGUAUAGUAGGGGUAAAGGGAAUUUCCAGUGGAGCGGUGAAAUGCGUAGAGAUUGGAAGGAACACCGAUGGCGAAGGCACUUUACUGGGCUAUUACUAACACUCAGAGACGAAAGCUAGGGUAGCAAAUGGGAUUAGAUACCCCAGUAGUCCUAGCUGUAAACCAUGGAUACUAGAUGUUGAACAGAUCGACCUGUGCAGUAUCAAAGCUAACGCGUUAAGUAUCCCGCCUGGGAAGUAUGCUCGCAAGAGUGAAACUCAAAGGA
rnacentral:rRNA from 1 species